rnacentral:lncRNA from 1 species
CCAACUCUCCCCUGGCCUAUUUUUAAAUUAAUCAACAAAAACUGAAGACAUUCCUACUUAACACUAAGUAGGGGAGAUCUGAUAGCCACUUACUAAAGUGGGUGACAACACCAGAAAUAAAUUAACACAUCCCUACACCUCCACCCCCAGAGCAGAGGACUUGGAGGAUCUUGGAGUGGGACAUUGGUAUGGCUUGGGACUUCAACCUGGGAACUCUGGCUCUUGAACUGCUUCUGGAAAGACUGCUCCUGGAUCUUCUCCUUUGAAGCUUCAUGUGGGUGAAAGA